GGCUCGAAAAGCGCAGAUCAAUGGCCAGCACUCGCGCCGUCAGGCCAGCGUAUUACCAAAUCGUUAUCCUUUGAUCUUUUUCGUACCCCAUUUCAAGUGUGAAUGCACCUCUUCGCGCUGCUGCUGCUGCUGCUGUCGUUGGUCAUCGGGCUGAUGCUCGCUGUGCCAGGACGAGGUGCUCGCAAGUGCUUCGUCACAGACGCAGCCCCGGCCGUUCCGUUCGGGCUUGAGCUGUGCUACAUGCACUCGCACAAUGCAUGCUGCCUCCCCGGCAAUGAUAAAGAUAUUCAGACGGCAUACAGUGCCUUGGUGCCGAAGGGGCAGGGCUGUGUCGCGGGCAGCCAGCGCAUUUACACCUCGCUCUACGCGCUGCGCCAGUAUCUUUGCCUGCCCUGUGAUCCCAAAGAGCCCUUGUACCGCUUCGAGAGCGUCAAGGGCGACAUGGUGGACGGUGGUCUCGUUCCGCCGUCCACCAACUCCGUUGCUGGGGAGCAGACGUGGCGCAUUUGCCGUUCCUUCCUCUACGGCAAGGAGGGCACGCGGAAAGGGCUGUGGGGUCACGAUGGCUCUCGCUACGCUGAAUGCGGCGUCAUCGUGAGCUCCUGCAUGUCCACCCCCGUCUUCAACAUAACUGCCGCCUCCUUUCAGUCACCGUCGCCCUCGUGCGUAGCGUCGAAUGAGCUGAUCAUUCCGUCUAUCACCUUCCGUGGCUCCCCCAACCCGGCACUCGAGAUGCUUUCAAUGGUAACGCAGAGCAUUCCAGACUUUCAAAUCGUCAUUGUGAACGACAGCGAUCCCAACUACGACUACGACAAGACACCGUGCUUCGGCCGUGACGCCACUGCGGCCGUCGCCUCAGCGACGCUGUCAGGGUGGGUGUCUGCAGUGGCACUUGUGCUGUUACUCUGGCUUUGAGGUGGAGCCCCCUGUGUACAAGAAGGCGUGCAUUCGGUUUUUCGUGAACCCCACUUUACUAGUCAUCAGGCUCACGGUGGAGAAAGGUCUCGCGCCUGGGAUAUCCCGGUGUGCGAUGCGCUGUCAACAACCGUGUACAGGCGGCGGCUGUACCGCCUGUGAAAUUGUUUGCAUCACUAAAGAGGGCAGGCGAAGACUUGUAGAGUAACUGUAUACACUGCCGCGUCCUCUUUUCGAUCUUCAUUGCUUUUAUUUUUUGUAUAUCAUUUUGUGUGCUUUCCUCGGGGGAGGUCUGCGGCGGCCAAUGCAAAGUGAAUGGUAGUCUUUUGCAUAUGCUCUGCCUAAUGCGAGUGUCUUGGAUGACAUCGCCUUCGCACCGCCGUUCCGUCGGACACCCUCUUCAUUGGCUUCCGUCUUGUUCGUCUCCCAUCUUCCUCAACUCCGGUGUACAGAGGCAAAAAC
rnacentral:misc_RNA from 1 species